UACGUAGGGUCCAAGCGUUGUCCGGAAUUACUGGGUAUAAAGGGUGCGCAGGCGGGCUCGUGCGUCGAAGGUUAAAAGGCCUGGCUCAACCUGGAAAUGCCCUCGAUACGGCGAGUCUUGAGUAUGAGAGAGGAAGAUGGAAUUCCUGGUGUAGCAGUGAAAUGCGUAGAUAUCAGGAGGAACACCGGUGGCGAAGGCGGUCUUCUGGCUCAUUACUGACGCUCAGGCACGAAAGCGUGGGGAGCGAACAGGAUUAGAUACCGGGUACGCC
rnacentral:rRNA from 1 species